rnacentral:lncRNA from 1 species
GUUUUGGAGCAAGAUUUGGUAUUGGCAUUUUGGGCUCAGCUCCUUGAGACUAGAGGGCAUCACCUUCAUUCAUUGGCAUCUCAUUGGCCUGAAAUCUCCAUGCAUCAUGUAAGGUCGAUUCUACCACAGUUUUAUUUCAAAAAGCCAGAAACUGAAGAAAAACAUACCAUUGGUGCAGCAGCACAGAAUCUCUCAUUUUCGCAAACCGUUUCCGAAGAAGGAGCAGUUUCUUCUUGUAUAGACGGUUGAGGAGUAGGCACUCCUAAAUUUGGCUACACCAAACCAAACACAAUCAGUUCCCAUAAUCACAAAGUGAACACAUUUCAUCAUACGUUCAAUAUACCUCAGUCAAAUUGUCUACCCCACAUUCGUUCUGUGCUGGAGGAUUUUCGGGCUGCUUUUCUC